rnacentral:rRNA from 1 species
UACGUAGGGGGCUAGCGUUGUCCGGAAUCAUUGGGCGUAAAGCGCGUGUAGGCGGCCCGGUAAGUCCGCUGUGAAAGUCGGGGGCUCAACCCUCGGAUGCCGGUGGAUACUGUCGGGCUCGAGUACGGAAGAGGCGAGUGGAAUUCCUGGUGUAGCGGUGGAAUGCGCAGAUAUCAGGAGGAACACCAAUAGCGAAGGCAGCUCGCUGGGACGGUAUUGACGCUGAGGCGCGAAAGCGUGGGGAGCAAACAGG